rnacentral:rRNA from 1 species
CAACCCGAUGCAAACUACGAAUACCGAAGAAUGUUAUCACGGGAGACACACGGCGGGUGCUAACGUCCGUCGUGAAGAGGGAAACAACCCAGACCGCCAGCUAAGGUCCCAAAGUCAUGGUUAAGUGGGAAACGAUGUGGGAAGGCACAGACAGCCAGGAUGUUGGCUUAGAAGCAGCCAUCAUUUAAAGAAAGCGUAAUAGCUCACUGGUCGAGUCGGCCUGCGCGGAAGAUGUAACGGGGCUAAACCAUG